GCGGUCUGAGGCGGCGGAGGUGGCGGCGACGGUGCGGCCGUUCGAGUGCGUGAGGGAGCCGGCCCUGCGGCCCGCCCCGCCCCUGGGCUCUGGCCUCCAGUCCCCUCCCGUUCGCGCUUCCGUUACGGCCGUUAGUUCCGCGCGGGGGCCGGCCGUGUCUCCACACCGGGAGCUGCCCUGACGGACCUCGGCGCGGCCUGGAAGCCAGCCUCCGCUCGCUCCCGGGGCCCGCGCCGGGCGGGCUCUGCGCGGCCUUGCCCGGGGGUCGGACGGGUCCUUCGGUGCGCGCUUUCUAACGGCCGGCGUCCGGGGAGCGGCUCGGAGCCCGCGUCCGCCGCCUCAAGUUCUCCCGGGGCGCCACUGCAGCCCGCCCAAGGUCCCGAGCUGCUCGACCGACGUGGAGCCGGCGUCUCUCCGCUUCCUACGGGGCCGGCUCAGCGGCACGGCUGGCGAGGCUCCCCCGGGCGCGUGGGGACCCGGCCAUGGGCCGCGGUGCGGGUUGGCCGCCCGCCGGGAGGCAUGGCUCGGGGGCCGGCCGCUAGCAGCGCCGCAGCCCGGGCGCCCGGGCCGGCAUGAGGACGGCCGCGGGGGGACGAGUGCGGCCCUCGGGGCCGUAGCCUGCGUCGCGCCGGGGACAAAGAAGCCAUGCAGUGACACCCGCUAAGACUUGUUGGUAGCCAUGUCGGAGCCCCACAGGGUCCAGUUCACCUCUCUCCCAGGUUCUCUGAAUCCUGCAUUUUUGAAGAAAUCCCGGAAAGAGGAGGUUGGGGGAACAGAACAGCAUCAGGACUCUGAGCCGGCUGCAGCAGCUGUUCGGAUUACACUCACCCUCUUUGAGCCAGAUCACAAGCGCUGUCCAGAGUUCUUCUACCCGGAGCUGGUGAAGAACAUACGAGGGAAGGUAAAAGGCCUUCAACCCGCAGACAAGAAGAAAGAUCUCUCAGAUCCUUUCAAUGAUGAAGAAAAGGAAAGGCAUAAAGUGGAGGCCCUUGCCCGGAAGUUUGAAGAAAAAUAUGGUGGAAAGAAACGUAGAAAAGAUCGGAUACAGGACCUGAUUGACAUGGGGUACGGUUACGAUGAAUCUGACUCCUUCAUCGAUAAUUCUGAGGCGUAUGAUGAACUUGUUCCUGCUUCUUUGACUACAAAGUAUGGAGGAUUUUACAUUAACUCCGGAACCCUGCAAUUUAGACAAGCAUCAGAAUCUGAGGAUGACUUCAUUAAAGAAAAGAAGAAAAAAUCUCCAAAGAAGCGGAAGUUGAAGGAAGGUGGUGAGAAGAUAAAGAAGAAGAAAAAAGAUGACACUUAUGACAAGGAGAAGAAAUCGAAAAAGUCCAAGUUUUCCAAAGCCGGCUUCACAGCACUGAAUGCCAGUAAGGAGAAGAAGAAAAAGAAAUAUUCUGGGGCUUUGAGCGUUAAAGAGAUGCUGAAGAAAUUUCAGAAGGAGAAAGAGGCUCAGAGAAAGAGGGACGAAGACCAUAAGCCCGUAGCGGUCUCGUCGGCGGAAGCUCAGGGCCUGCGGGAAUUGGAGGGCACCUCUGACCCCUUGCUCUCGCUCUUUGGCUCCACUUCUGACAACGACUUGCUCCAGGCAGCCACUGCCAUGGACUCGCUGACUGAUUUGGACUUGGAGCAGCUGCUCAGUGAGUCUCCAGAAGGAAGCCCUUUCCGUGAUAUGGAUGAUGAGAGCAAUUCCCUUGGGGUGGGACUGGACCAGGAAUUCAGGCAGCCCUCUUCCCUCCCUGAAGGCCUGCCUGCACCCCUGGAGAAGCGCGUUAAGGAGCUGGCUCAGGCUGCCAGAGCUGCUGAAGGAGAGAGCAGACAGAAGUUCUUCACCCAAGAUGUUAAUGGCACCCUCUUAGACAUAGAGGUGCAAACUCGGGAGCUGAGUAGCCAAAUCCGUUCUGGGGUGUAUGCCUAUCUUGCUUCAUUCCUGCCCUGCAGCAAGGACACCCUGGUCAAACGUGCUCGGAAACUUCACCUCUAUGAACAGGGGGGGCGUCUGAAGGAACCUCUCCAGAAGCUUAAGGAAGCCAUUGGAAGGGCAAUGCCAGAGCAGAUGGCCAAGUACCAGGAUGAAUGCCAGGCACACACACAAGCCAAGGUCGCUAAGAUGCUGGAAGAGGAGAAGGACAAGGAGCAGAGAGAGCGGAUGUGCUCUGAUGAGGAAGAAGAUGAGGAAAAGGGGGGCAGGAGGAUAAUGGGACCCCGGAAGAAGUUCCAGUGGAAUGAUGAAAUCAGGGAGCUGUUAUGCCACGUGGUGAGGAUAAAGCUGGAGAGCUACGAUCUGGAGAGGAACAACAGGACCCAGUCUUGGGAGGACUAUGUGAAGGCCUUUCUGGAUGCUGAGGUCAAACCUCUGUGGCCCAAAGGCUGGAUGCAGGCCAGGACUCUGUUUAAGGAGAGCAGACGAGGCCACGGGCACUUGACAUCAAUCCUGGCCAAGAAGAAAGUAAUGGCCUCUUCCAAAAUCAAGAUGAAGGAAUCAUCUACUAAGCCUGAUAAAAAGGUUUCCAUCCCACCAGGCCAGAUUGGCGGCCCCCUGGCUUUGCCUUCAGAACACCUGGGAGGAGGCCUGAGCACUGGGGCUACAAACAGGGAGCUCUCAGCCCAGGCAUCUGGCAGCCUUGCUAAUCCUGCUCCUAUCAACCUGGAGGACUCGUUGGAUGGAGACUUGAUCCGUAAUUCAGCCUCCUCAUUGGAGGUGGUGUCUAAGGAACUGGCUGUGCUGAGCAGCAGAGCAGGUGGGAGCUCUGAGUUCCCACUGCCGGCACCCUCAAAAGUACCUGCAGAGAAGAUGGUGGGCGUCGUGUGUUCAGAAGAGAAGAGGAACUUUCUGAAGCCCAGCCCUUCUGCCCCGCCAGCCUCUAGUUCCCUGCAGUCUCCCCUCAAUUUUCUGGCCGAACAGGCUUUGGCACUGGGGCAGUCCUCUCAGGAGACAAAACCAGAGAGCUCUGGCUACAAAGAGCUGUCCUGUCAGGCCACGCUCAGCAAGGGCCUGUCGGAAGUGCACCAGUCCAAAGCAAAGCACCAUGGCUUGCCACGGACGCCUCAUGCACCCCAGGCGGCAGCUCCUGUGCCUGGCCCCCAAGUCAAAGUCUUUCAUGCAGGCACUCAACAGCAAAAGAGCUUCACCCCUCCAGCUCCUUUUGUCAAUAAGCUCCAGGGCCCAAAGCCUUCCUCCCCGCAGUGCCAUCGUUCCCUCCUCCAGCUUGUGAAGACAGCAACCAAAGGCCAGAGCUUCCAUCCCUCCACGCCGGCCUCUUCAGGAGGCACACCAGCCUCUAGCAGCAACUCUCAUAAGACCCCAGCCUCGUCCUCCACUGCCCUGAGCCAUCCAGCAAAACAGCACUCAGCCAGCUCUUCAGGGCCAUCUUACAAGAAUAGUCCCUUUGCCAGCUCGGUCUCUAAACACGGGGUUUCUUCUGGCAGCUCUUCCUCUGGAGGAACACCAGUCCAGAGCUCUGCUUCCGGGAACCUGCUCCCCGGCGUACAGCCUCCCUCCGCAGGACCGUCUGCCAGCAGACCUGUCCCAGGCUCUGCAGUGAAAAAACCACCUGUUUCCCAGAAGCUGACCCUGGUGGCCCCUCCGGGUGGUCCAAGUGGAGACUCCAGUGGUGGGACCCAGGGAGUGGCAAAGCUACUGACCUCCUCCCUGAAGUCCAGCGCGGUUAGCAGCGUGACAUCGUCUACCUCCUUGCCAGUGAGUGUCCUGGCACAGCAGCCCGCCCCUCGUGGGUCUUGUGGACAGGGCCGCUUGCCUUGCCCUGCUCGGAGAGUGAGAUCUGACACUGAAGGUCAGAAAGGAACGAGUGGGGCUGUGCUGCUGGCCAGCUCCUCGCCCUUAAAUCUGCUGUCUGCAUCCUACAAGUCCGGCAGCGCGAAACUGCCCGGAGCCAUGAACUCCAACUCCCUGGGGAUCAUCUCCCAGUUUCCCCUCCACGUGCUCUCCUUCAGCGCCGAGUCCUCUGCGAAAGCAGGGGUUUCCAAGGAUGCCAUCGUCACGGGUCCUGCCCCUGGGACAUUCCACCACGGCCUCAACCAUAGUCUCCUGGCUGGCUUGCACUCCAGCCCACCCCGUGCAGCGCCUCUCCCACACGCUGCCGUGUCCACCCACAUCCCGCAGAGUCUGCCAGGUCAGUAGAUUUCAGAAAGGGAUGUGGUAUUGCUGUGAGAAGGCCGCACAGAUGCUCCAGCUGGCACCUUCCCAAUGCUUCUCAACUUCACGGAAAAGGGCCCGGUGUACCACGGAAAUUGUGACCUCUUCAGAGGAAAGGCCCGACUAACAUAGGUCUGGGCGGAAGCUGAACAAGUAGGUCUCAGAAACUGGAUAAUCACUAUGCUCUUUCUGCCCCGAUUGGCUUUCUUCUGGAGAAGGUGUGAGUGCUAAGUGGAGCGUCUCUUGGCACUGUGAUGUGCCUUCUGUUAGGGGACCAGCCCUGGGCUUCUCCGGAGGCACGGACUGGCCUGGUGUUCCGGGCUGCGCGGCUGUGUCAUGGACAAUCGUUGGAGGGGCAGCUCUGGGCUGGGGUGCGCGCUGGGUCAUGUACGAAGCUCUGGUGUCGGGGCAGAGCAGUUGGCACACGUGCUUUAAAUCCACCUGACCCCUGGCAUUUGGUCAGAGUACCUCAUGGUGCCCUAGUGGUCAGGGACUCCUUCUGGCCACAGUGGGAUCCCUGGAUGGUCAUGGUGUCUGUCCCAUCCUCACGCUGUGUGCUCAACAGGACAAAAACCUCCCAGCUAAUACACAGCUGGGAGACUUACCUUGUUUUUUUGAAAAAUACUCAGAACACCUAAUGUGUGCCCAUCAUGGUGGUGGCCAGCAUCUCUGCCUGAACGUGACAGUGAAGCUCUUUCAGAGAAAAGACCUUUGUAGAUUCAACAGUUGUGACAGGAUUUUUAAAGACACUUAUUUUGGUCCAGAUUUCAUUAUUACCAUUAAUGCAUUGGAUAGAAUGGGACUGCUUUUUGCCUGUCAUAUUAUAGUAAGACAUAAUUCCAGUGCCUUUAUGGUGGAGCAGAAUUAGACACGUCCAUUCAGCCCUCUGGGUGGAUCUCAGAUGGAAGACUUUUUUAAAAGAUAUGUCUGUAUUUAAGACAUAACCAGUUUGAGUUUUUUACAGUUGCACAUCAUAAUCUGUGCCGUCCUGACUUGAAGGUCAUCUGGGCCCCCAAAUCCCAAGUCCCAAUACAGCCCGGGCCCCCAUUUUGUUUGUUUCAGAGUUCAUACAGGUGGACUGCAGAGCCCCAAAGCCCUUCAUCUCUUAGAGGGCCAAGGAUAUGAGGGGUUCCAAGUCACAGACAUUCCAGUUUGUUUUGUUUAGAAACCAUUGUCAGGCAGAGCUGCAGGAACAGACCUCUGUGAAGCGUCUGCCAUGUAGAAACAGGCCUCGCCGUCCUGGAGCUCUCCACGUAGCAGGGCUGGGCGUUGACUUAAGGGUGGCGCGCCGAUGAGCAUGGAGAGUGCGCCAGAGACAGACUAGGACAGCUACCGCGGAGCGCACUCAGCAGGCGGCUGCUUCACAAGGAUGGUUAGGGCACUUGCCUGUCCGGUGAAGUGUGUACCACAAGGCGUGUCUGAACUGACUGCUUCAGCUAAGUGAUUGCAAUUAUGUUAAGAGUAAUCCGCCUCCUCAGAAUGUACACCUGUGUGACGACACAGGCAGCUCUCUUGGUUCCUGCCUUCCAGGGUACAGUGCUCAGUAACUCAGUUCAUGCAGAGGUUUGCCCGGGUUCAGAUGGAGCAACACCUCCGUCAGCUGUCCGGCUAGGCCUCUGCUGUUUGUUUGGCUUUUUUCUUUUUCUUUUUUAAACGUAAGAACCAACAUGUGUUUCACAUGGGCUAGAGUGGAUUCCUUAUCCCUUCAUUGUACCUAUUUUUUGCAACUUGGGUUUCCAGUUUGUUUACAGAAUAUAGUCUUAGGUAGUAGCAAAAGAGCCAAAGAAGAGAUUUGUAUUGCUGAGCUCAGAGCCGCGCAGAGGCCGCCCGUGAACACUGAGCAGUGGGAACUCUCCAGGUUUCUCCACCCGAGAACACCCAAGGUCCCUUCCCUGCAGCGCUCCCUCCUCCCCAUGUACCAUUGAGUGUGCAGCUGGAGCAGAAUACCCUCAUUUUUAGGAAUCUAGUGAUGCCUCUUGCCUCAGGGAAACGUUUCUUUGAUGGGGAGUUUAUGAGAUUUCUUUUUCUUGUUUAUGCUUUAUUUGUGGUAACGAAAGAGUGAGUGACUUACACAGCCACGGCCGUUGCGCCCGGCAGGCAGAGCGGGCUCCGGGGUGGGGUGGAGGGGGGCGCUGCCCUUGGUGCAGCCGCUCCUGAGGUGUGAGAGGGGCUGUGGCUUUUGUGCGGCGAGACUAUGUUGGUGUUGGGGGUGGUGUGGAAAUUGUUAAUCUUGUAUAAAGCAACUAAAUAAAUUGUUUCAAGG